rnacentral:rRNA from 1 species
GGUUGUAGCGAUACAAUAGUGGCGCACGGGUGCGUAACACGUAUGCAACCUACCUUAUAGACGGGGAUAGCCUUUGGAAACGGAGAUUAAUACCCGAUAGUACUAUUGACUGGCAUCAGUUAAUAUUUAAAGAUUUAUCGCUAUAAGCUGGGCAUGCGUCCAAUUAGUUAGUUGGUUAGGUAACGGCUGACCAAGACGAUGAUUGGUAGGGGAACUGAGAGGUUAAUCCCCCACACUGGCACUGAGAUACGGGCCAGACUCCUACGGGAGGCAGCAGUAGGGAAUAUUGGGCAAUGGAGGCAACUCUGACCCAGCCAUGCCGCGUGCAGGAUGAAGGCGUUAUGCGUUGUAAACUGCUUUUAUAUAGGAAGAAACAGACCUUGCGAGGUAAUUUGACGGUACUAUAUGAAUAAGCACCGGCUAACUCCGUGCCAGCAGCCGCGGUAAUACGGAGGGUGCAAGCGUUGUCCGGAUUUAUUGGGUUUAAAGGGUGCGUAGGCGGUUUAUUAAGUCAGUGGUGAAAGACGGUCGCUCAACGAUUGCAGUGCCAUUGAUACUGGUAGACUUGAGUGAGAUUGAGGUAGCUGGAAUGGAUAGUGUAGCGGUGAAAUGCAUAGAUAUUAUCCAGAA